CUUCUGCCUGUUACAUACUUUUCAUUUUUAUGCCCCUUUCUUUUACUCUACAAGUAACGGGCAUAAAAAUGGACAGGGCUAACUAUAGGCAGAAAGUAAAAUUCUUUUAUCACUCUUUUUUACAAAUAGGAAUGGUAUUUUACCGUUUCGAGUCUUUUUUUAUGUUUUAUGAAAUUUAUAUUAAAAGUAUUUAUUAUUUCGUAGAAACAAACGUAGGCAAAAGGUAAGAGAAGUCCAUGCUAACGGCCAUAAGACUAAAAUUUGUAUGGUGAUGCUGGAAAAGCGUAAUGAUGAAAUUGUUUUGUUAUUUUUAAAUCAUUUUAAUUAAUUAAAUAAAUUAAUUAAGUGUUGGGGCACCGUCAAUGGGUUGCAAUCGCGUUGAGUCUUGUGACCAGUUAAGGUUCUGCUUGCAUGCCUCCAUCUUUCUCACAUUUUCCCGCGGUAUCUUGAAACGUCUCAGUGCAUAGCCUUUUUUGCCUUUUUAUUAACCCUUAGAACUGUUGAAUGCUUAUUAUUUUUAUUAAAAAUAUUUGACAAUUAAAUCUACACUUUAGAUGAGGUCAAGACGUUUGUGCUUUUCCCUAAGAACUAAAACCAUGUUUAGUAAGCCAAUCACAAUGCCGAUCAAAAAUAUGUAGUAGUAAGCCGUGAAUAAUGAUUUGGUAACCACAGUUGCCAUUUUCAGGAAAAAUUCAAAGCUUCGCACUUAAUAGUAGAUAAGAAAAUAACACCAAAGCGUAAAAUCUUUAAGCUUUCUUCAGGGUGCAUUGAUUAACUGAAUAGUAUGCUCGCCAGAAUACUCUAAAUAAGUGGAAGGUCCUUCAAGUACAGAUAAGGUCUUACGAUUUGAUAUUCUCUAGUAUUAGAGAUCCAUCUGUUGGAUACCAAAAUUUUGUGAUAUUGAUGUGGCGGCAGUAAUACCAGUGACGAUUCGCAACGAGGCUGCGAUCAGUGAAAAAUACUUUUUAGUACCAGGUUGUGCGGUUAAACGGUACUACAUUUGUUGAAAACUAAGUACCAGGUAGUAGGUAGCGACCUAUGUAUGCUUUAUAUGUACAAUGGGAAAGUUCUUUAAAACACGCCCACAAGUGUUACGUCCUCGAAACUUAUCAUUGUAUUGUUUUUGUAUUACUAAGUAUCGUAUAUACUAAAUAAAUAUUUGGCGCCCGAUCGUAUAAAAAAAUGAUAUACAAACAUCUACUAUGUACAAAACGCAUAAUGAAGAUUUCCGGCUAACAUUAUUAUUUAUUUUUUCUAAACUGUGUAACAUCUCAUUAGCUAUAUCUGUACAGCAAAUAAAUAUGGUUAAUAUGUUUAGAAGUGUAUAUGUUCUUCACAUUUCUCUCUUCUCAUAUUGCCUUAAACAAGACCGCAAUUAGACAAGUGUCCACACAAAUAUAAUAUUAAAAUAUUCUUUUGAAAUUGAUAUAGAGCGCAAUCAAGUAGAAGGCUAUAGUUUCAAAGCACAUAACGACACCGAGAAAUAUAAUAAAAGCUUUGAGUUAGAUAACGAAAGUAAUUUGUUAUAUGGCUCUGUCUCGGAAAAAGUAUUAGACGAGGCCAGGUACAAUCUUGCCACUCAUGUUAUGUCAAAUGGAGUGGAACUAAUAAUUGCCGACGAAAAGGGGAAACAUAUUGAAAAUCUAGCGAUGGCCACCCAAAAUGCAAACAGCAAUUAUCGUCAACAUAUUUUAAAAACCUUACGAUCCGAGAAGCCUUUGACAUUGGCCCCAAGUACGUUACAAAAUCAGAUGAUUUUAACAUUGCCUUUAAUUAAACAGAAAACACUUAUUGUUCCCAAAAACGUAUUUGUAAGAAAAAUUUGUCUAACUACUUACAAAUAUCACACAACUAAUGUGGAAAAUGGAAGUUUUCAUUUGGUUACCAAAAACAUGGUUAUUACCAACAGUUUUACUGAAGAGCAAAAUGACCUUCAUGCAAGUAACUCGAUGAUAGCAGACGUAAUUUUCUCAAGGACUCCAGAUAUAGGAGUUGGUAUGUUUCCAACAAAUUAUCACUAUUUUAACACAAUUGAUCGAGGACAGUUGACUCCAAUGAUAGUCACAUCAAAAGAUACUGUCACAAACACAAUUACGAAAACAAAGCAGUCCUUGGCUCUUCCACAUUCAACCAUAGAUAUUUCACCUAGCACAAACACAUACUUUAGUUACAUAUUAUUAACUACAACCGUAUAUGAUGAUUUUGGAACUCCAACAUAUAUCUCAAGUAAAAAAAAUCUCACUCAAGUAGUUAGUACAGAGCCCCUUCCAGUUACCACUUCCGCUUACAUGAAUACAGAAGUAACUAAAAUUGUUUCGAGCGUGAAACAAUCAAAUAAUUCAUCUACUUUUGCAAUGAGUUAUAACGAAUCUGACUAUCUUAGGAUAUAUUCAACAAAAGCCUUGUUAGAAACACUAACUUUUUGCUCAAGUAUGUAUAAUUCUAAUUUUACCAUUUUAAAGGAAUCAUGUAAAAGGGAUCUAAGAGUUCCCAACCAUCAAUUAAUGCGUCACACUCACUUUAUAAAACAUAUAAUAACGGAUACCGUUAAUAGUUCGCUAUUAGGCUUAAAUAUUUUGCUUUCCUUAAAAUCUAGACUUUUGAUUAAAAAGAGAAAACAUCAACGCCAAAGUAUUGUUACAAUGGUCACAUUGCUGCCAGGUGAAAUUAUUCGAGUAACGGGUGUCUAUAUCUUCCAAACAACACCCAAUUUAAGCAAUUUGGCCACGUCGAAGAAACAGAAUAUAUAUAUUAGCUCAGCAAUGAGUUUACACAGCGCUACGUUAAUAAGUAGUGAGCGAAAACCAACUUUAAGUACUAAGAAAAGUGACUUUUAUGAGAAUUUUAGCAACGUCUUGAAAAAACCAAGCCUCUUUAACAAUACAGAUUUAAUAUUAUUGGAGUCUGAAAAUAGCGAAGUAUAUAUACAAACUAAAAAUAAAUUAAUGCAAUCGCGGCUUAGUUCUGUAACAUCCCAGACCAAUACUAUUGAGAAAAUUGGCUUGGAAAGUUUUCGUCCUGUGCUAAAUGUUGUGGCACACUUAUUAAAAAAACAGUUAAUCAAUUUACAGAAAGAACAGACGUACAACCAAACGUAUAAAAAAGGAUGGCCAAAAUCUAAUAGUGUUCAAAGCCAAACUAUAUCAGCAGUUAUUAAAAAACCAGUAUAUAUACCAUUGGCCCAAAACGAGUAUGAAGAAAUAAAAUUCAAAAGCGAUACUCCAGACAAACUAAAUAUUAAUUCAUUACAUAUAUAUCCACCGAGGAUGGACUUAGUAACGAAAACAAAUAAAAUAGCACCUCGCCAAGAGCAUGUAGAAUCGUCAAGGAUAUAUGAAAACGAAUUAAUGAAUAAGGGAAUUCCCAUAAGGCCUGGAGAAGUCAUAACGGCCAGCGCCAAUGUUAUUUUUGGAAGGCCAAAUAUAAAUGUCGGAGUAUUCCACACAUUGUUUAUCAGAAAUACAACCGCAGUAAACAAUCGUCCCUCUAUAUCGCUAAAAUCAUUGUACUUAAAUAAUCCAAUUAAUUCCAAUAUUUUGGAUAAUUAUAAUAAUUCAUACAAUAAAAGAACUUAUAUAGAGUAUGCUAGUAUAUUAAAACCGCCUUCAAUACUAAUAAAUCCUCAAAAACAAGUAAAGAGUACAACACUUAAUUCCCAAUUUGUCCAGAAACCAAUAAUUGACCUCAAUACUGCAUUUUACAACCAUCAUAUCCUAGACAUAUUUCGGAUACCACAAAUAAUGGUUACAAGUCUGCCAGUUUCUAAAAGUUAUUUUGCCAUGUCAAAUACUCCUGAAUAUUUCUUUAGUCAAGACGGUCAUCAAAACCCCAUAAAAUCGUCGUUAUCCAAUGUUACGCCCCUAAUCAUAGCUACACCGUCAACUGCUCAACAAAUAAAAUUACAAAAUAAUGUAAUUAGCCAUACUAUUAAAAUGCAUGCCCGUCCACUGACUUUCAAAAAGGAAUCUGAUAGCAUUCCGGGAGCGACAACCGUAAAAUUAUAUACCGAUACUUUUUUUAUGCCACAUAUAAAAAUACCACUAAGCGACGAAAAAAUUAAUGUUCAUAUAACAUCCAAUAGCAAAAGGUUAUUUUCUCUUGAUUACAAUAAGUUAGACCCCGAUAAAUAUAACAAAGUUAAAUUUCAAGGAAUUUCCAUUGAAAAUAUGAAGAAACCAAAUAAAAUAACCACAUAUGCCCCCGUUUUUCAAAAUAAUUUUCCUUCCCAACCAACUGCUGGACUGGAUAACAUGCAUAAUGGUAAACAAACAAGAUAUAGCAAUGGAGCUCCUAAUCAAAAAGUGAAACCUUUUUCAAAGCCAGAUCAAACAGCAGAGUACUCAAACGAAUCAUCCCGUGUUUUGAAGUUUAAAAUCACUAAGAAAAAUAAUAUUUUCGGCAACGCUGCAUCGAACAAAAGGUUCUCAGUGAUAACCACAAAUUCGGUGUCUCCUACCAAAAAGUAUUGCUCUGAAAUUUUGUGUGAGCUAUUUCUUGCAAUAAAUGCAAAUUCACAUAUUAAACACUUUACAAGACAUGCAUCUGAUUCUGAAAACAUUACAAUUGUUCUGAGAACAACAAACUUCAGCGAUAACUGCUCAUCUGUGUCUAGUAAAUAUAUUCAUUUUUCAAGCUCAUUACCUAUUUUGAAGGUCCCUUAUUUAAAAUCAACAGUAUCUAUAAAGACAAGUUCUCGCGUGUUAACGUCGAUAAAUGAUAUCAAUCUGCAAACUUCAAACUUGGAACUUCCAAAUAGUUUUCUAUACAAUUUAGGUUCAUUGAACACAAUACAAGAGCCGCAUUUUGAACCUGGUCAAGAUUUGCGUAGUGCGACCUUGGGUAUCAUAUGCAAUAUUAAAGACUGCAAAAAUAGUUGGAUACAAAAACUAAAGAACGAUGAUAAAAUGCUUGAACCAUCUGAAAUGAUGCAGGAUGAUUCUGUUUCACAAAAAAGUUCGAUCACAGAAAGAACAACGAACUCCUUUAAUACGUUGCAACUCACCAAAACUGAAAGUAUUGAUGCUGAAAAAUAUAUACCUCUUGGGCAUUUUGUUGUGAAUACUUCAAAAACAUAUUUAAUGAAACCUAUACACAUUAGUGUUCAGAAAGUACUUAUAUCUCAAGGCAGUCCCGAUGUUAGUAUUCUGAAUGGAUCAGACUAUAACGGGGAGCCAUAUAACGUAAAGUAUGAUCUCAGAUACUCUGGGACUGCAGAUAAUUUUGAAAUGGAAAAUGGCCCAGAGAGGGGGCACACCGAUUUUAUAAACAAAUCGAGCUCGGUAAUCUCUAACUCAAGCCCAGAUCAGAUAAGUUAUGCCCCCAGCGACUUAAGAAGUAUGCCCUUUAGAGCAGAUCUAAUAGAUUCUCUGUCACAGAGAAUCGAUUUAAUAAAACAAAAAUCUGAUACUGCUUGCCAUUCAACAUGCAGAUUAAAUAAAAAUGAAAUAUGCGUAACCUAUGGAAAUAGUACCGAAACUUUAGGUAUUUGUGAGUGUCGACCGGGUUUUGGACGUAUGUUUCCGGAUCACCCUUGCAAACCUACUUAUACGUAUGAAAUGAGAAUUCAAGCCAACUGGGCGGAAAGUCACUUAUUAAAAUUCAGCAAUAAAAGAAAAAGUAAUUUUUCAAUCGAAUAUCGAAAUAUUAGUAAAAUAUUGUUGGAAGCCGCCGAUCGCAUGGUAAUGCAAUCUGAUUAUAGAGAUAUAUUUCACGGUGUGCAACUACUAACAGCUUUGACUCAAACCAAGAAAACGUUAUUGAUCACCUACCUCCUUCAGUUAUCAGAGAAUAGCAAUGAGGAUCAACUUACAACUGUAUUUAAAAAAUAUUUACGGCAAAGCAACUUUAGUAUUGGAGGCACGGAACUGUACACCUCAAGAAAAGGGCUCCAAUUCCUUACAUUCAAGGACUUUGAUGAAUGUCGCAACAAAAAUUUUUAUGACUGUUCCCCAAAUGCGCAAUGUUUUAACUUAAUUGGAAGUUACACUUGCAGUUGCAAGGAGGGUUACAUAGAUAUCUUAGAAAACAGCUUACACCCCGGUCGCUAUUGCCUAGAUAAUAUAAUCGGUUGCGAUAAAUGUAACUAUAACGGCAAAUGCGUCAAUGAUCCGGUUAAAAAGAGCCAUCAAGGAUUAGCGGUAUGUAAGUGCAAUGCUUGGUAUACCGGAACGAAGUGCCAAAUUAACUUGAAAAUAAUAAUACUAUUUAUUGUUACAAGUGGCACAAUAUUGUCUUCUUUGGUUAUGUUCCUCUUUUUGCUAAUAAUCACCAAGCGCAAAAAACAAGUCGAUAGGAAAACAAGCCAAUUAUGCAUUUCAGCUUCCUCACUAAAUCCAAGUAUAACAACCUCAAUCAAAAUUGGUCGACCAUCAGUCCGUGAAAAGGAAAAUAUCGGUGAAAUAUGUAAAAACAUGAUAUUAAUGUCUAAUAAGAAAUAUAAUGGAGUGAAGAAUCAUUUCAUGAAUACAGAAACGCAUACAAAAACAAGUAUGAUUCAAACUUACACGAACACGAUAGCUUCUAGAAAAGUACACGGCUUAAAUAUCACACGUGCAUUUACACAGCAUGACUUUCUACAUGGUAGUACCGACCGAAGCCCACAACAAAAAGACCAAAAUAACCGUUCUCUUACUCUAAGGAUUCCACGAGCAAAAUUUAGCUUUCCCGAUAUUUCUCAAAAUUCUUGUUUAAGUCAUCAUGGUAAAAGAUCAAGUAUGGAUAGUACAAGGCAAGGAGUUGUGCAUAAGGAUGACGAUCGUAUGACUGCCUAUCGAUCCUUAGCCCCAAACUCACUUUAGCCAAAGCUGCACUAGUAUCUGCUGGAUAUGAGUUAUAUGCCCUGAAUACAGAUAAAAUAGGAUUUGGAACUUCAACAUUAGAUGAAAAUAUUUCUUUUAAUGAGGCUUAUUCCAACAGCCCAAGCGCAUUCAAUGAGGUCUCCAACACAAUGACUGAAAGAGAUUUGGGUUCUACAUUCUUGCUACCACAUACACAUCUUUAUAAGUCCGACAAGAUACCGUAUGGUUUUUCUAGAUCGAGUUCUUCAUAACUUUUAAAAUGGUAAUGAUUUCAAUAUUUUAUGGGUAUAACAGGUUCGAAAAAAAGCAAACAAUAAUGUCCCUGAGAAGAAAGGACAAAUUGGACAGGCCAAGAUAUUGGUACUCUAAUCUAAUCUGAUGUGUCUAUCAAGUGAAGCUGAUCAAUAUAAAAGGAGGCCAAAAUAA